GCCCGCCUAGCUCAAUCGGAUAGAGCGUCAGACUUUUACGAUUGUUUGAUCCAUGGCGGUGAUUGCGUAAUCUGAAGGCUGCGGGUUCGACCCCCGCGGUGGGCU